GUGCCAGCAGCCGCGGUAAGACGUAGGAGGCGAGCGUUAUCCGGAUUCACUGGGCGUAAAGCGCAUGUAGGCGGUUGUGUAAGUCCGAUGUUAAAGCCCCUGGCUCAACUGGGGGAGGUCAUUGGAGACUACUCGACUUGAGGGCAACAGAGGCACGUGGAACUCCCGGUGUAGCGGUGGAAUGCGUAGAGAUCGGGAAGAACACCAGUGGCGAAGGCGACGUGCUGGGUUGCGACUGACGCUGAGAUGCGAAAGUGUGGGGAGCAAACGGGAUUAGAAACCCGAGUAGUCC
rnacentral:rRNA from 1 species